rnacentral:rRNA from 1 species
CAGUCGCCGCGGGAAUACGUAGGUGGCAAGCGCUGUCCGGAAUUAUUGGGCGUAAAGCGCGCGCGGCGGUUUCUUAAGUCUGAUGUGAAAGCCCCCGGCUUAACCGGGGAGGGUCAUUGGAAACUGGGAGACUUAGAGUGCAGAAGAGGAGAGUGGAAUUCCAUGUGUAGCGGUGAAAUGCGUAGAUAUAUGGAGGAACACCAGUGGCGAAGGCGACUCUCUGGUCUGUAACUGACGCUGAGGCGCGAAAGCGUGGGGAGCAAACAGGAUUAGAUACCCGCGUAGUCCCUGUCUCUUAUAC